rnacentral:lncRNA from 1 species
GUCUUAUAGUUGCUGUGGAAAUCAGGAAACAAUGGCAUCUAAGAAAUUUGCUGUUAAAGAAGUCUGUUUGCUGUUAAAGGAAACCAUUUAUUCAAGAGUUAAGGAGUACUUGGAAGUCCGUAAACAGCACAAGCCAUCAAAUACAGAAUUCACAAGAUCCACUCCCUUGUCCUUAAAAGGUUAUGGGUAUCAGAUCACAGCCUAUUUCCUCAAGAGGGGGAUACACCUUCGCUGCAUUGGGAGCUUACAGAAUACUAAACUCCGCGUAUUUCCUGACCGAUUUGUGGUCCUUGUUAGUCAGCUUGCAGUCAUUCCUGACAUCUUGUCAAAUCAGAAAGAAUUGUGUGAAAAGAACUGAAACGAAAAGCAUCUCAAGCAAAUCACAGAGCCACAGGGCCACUGUGAGAACUUCUAGUGACUCAGACAUUACAGUGGUGGUGAGGAGGAGCGAUGAUGAUCAGGCCUUAUCCAGUCCCGCAUCAGAAUCCAUGGGACAAGAAAAGGAUUACAUAAAGGCAGUGGAGCGCCACUGGAGGCUUCCUGUUCAAAAGCUGGAAAAUGUUAAUCAGACUCAACCAGAAGACACUAACAGCCAACAAAAACCUCAUCCUGGGGAGUGGUUAAAGACAGGACUUCUAAGCAGGAGCCCUGUCUACAGCUGUGAGUCAGCAUCCCCAGGUCCAAAGCGAAGUCCAUGGGCGGCCAAAACACAACAGAAAUGCAGGAACUGUGGCUCUGCAGAAGACUCCCACCACCACAAGAGAGUUUCUCUUGGAAGUGAUCGAUUAGUCUCUGGAGAAAUAAUAGUGGAAAAAAGCACAGCUGUCGGUCGUUUGCCAACUUUAGAGCUGUCAGAUCCAGGGUUACUUUUGAAACAAGAUUUGGCGAAAACCAUGUCUAAGGACGAGUUGCAUGUUUUGGAAAAUCUCUCCUCCAGACAUCUUAUGAAAAAUAACCCAGCACAGGAACAGCAAACUAGCUCAGCCACAAAUCCUAGAAAAUUAUCUAUACCUCAGGGCAACCUAACCGAAAAAAGAAAGAAAUUGCAAAGGAUUGCAAAGUUAUAG